CCUACGGGGGGCAGCAGUGAGGAAUAUUGGUCAAUGGACGAGAGUCUGAACCAGCCAAGUAGCGUGAAGGAUGACUGCUCUAUGGGUUGUAAACUUCUUUUAUAUGGGAAUAAAAUGUUCCACGUGUGGGAUUUUGUAUGUACCAUAUGAAUAAGGAUCGGCUAACUCCGUGCCAGCAGCCGCGGUAAUACGGAGGAUCCGAGCGUUAUCCGGAUUUAUUGGGUUUAAAGGGAGCGUAGGUGGAUUGUUAAGUCAGUUGUGAAAGUUUGCGGCUCAACCGUAGAAUUGCAGUUGAAACUGGGAGUCUUGAGUAUAGUAGAGGUGGGCGGAAUUCGUGGUGUAGCGGUGAAAUGCUUAGAUAUCACGAAGAACUCCGAUUGCGAAGGCAGCUCACUAGGCUGCAACUGACACUGAGGCUCGAAAGUGUGGGUAUCAAACAGGAUUAGAUACCCUAGUAGUC
rnacentral:rRNA from 1 species